rnacentral:rRNA from 1 species
UACGGGGGGUGCGAGCGUUGUCCGGAAUCACUGGGCGUAAAGGGCGCGUAGGUGGCGUGCUAAGGGUGUGGUGAAAGCCCGGGGCUCAACCCCGGGUCUGCCAUGCCGACUGUCAGGCUCGAGUGCUGUAGGGGCAGGCGGAAUUCCGGGUGUAGCGGUGGAAUGCGUAGAGAUCCGGAGGAAGACCGGUGGCGAAGGCGGCCUGCUGGGCAGUUACUGACACUGAGGCGCGACAGCGUGGGGAGCAAACAGG